rnacentral:rRNA from 1 species
GACGAACGCUGGCGGCGUGCUUAACACAUGCAAGUCGAACGGAAAGGCCCUGCUUUUGUGGGGUGCUCGAGUGGCGAACGGGUGAGUAACACGUGAGUAACCUGCCCUUGACUUUGGGAUAACUUCAGGAAACUGGGGCUAAUACCGGAUAGGAGCUCCUGCUGCAUGGUGGGGGUUGGAAAGUUUCGGCGGUUGGGGAUGGACUCGCGGCUUAUCAGCUUGUUGGUGGGGUAGUGGCUUACCAAGGCUUUGACGGGUAGCCGGCCUGAGAGGGGGACCGGCCACAUUGGGACUGAGAGACGGCCCAGACUCGUACGGGAGGCAGCAGUGGGGAAUAUUGCACAAUGGGCGGAAGCCUGAUGCAGCAACGCCGCGUGCGGGAUGACGGCCUUCGGGUUGUAAACCGCUUUCGCCUGUGACGAAGCGUGAGUGACGGUAAUGGGUAAAGAAGCACCGGCUAACUACGUG